UACGUAGGGUGCAAGCGUUGUCCGGAAUUAUUGGGCGUAAAGAGCGUGUAGGCGGCUUGAUAAGUCUGCUGUGAAAGUCCAGGGCUCAACCCUGGAAAGCCGGUGGAUACUGUCAAGCUAGAGUCCGGAAGGGGCGAGUGGAAUUCCUGGUGUAGCGGUGAAAUGCGCAGAUAUCAGGAGGAACACCGGUGGUGUAGACGGCUCUCUGGACCGUAACUGACGCUGAGGCACGAAAGCGUGGGUAGCAAACAGG
rnacentral:rRNA from 1 species